rnacentral:misc_RNA from 1 species
AACGCACCUUGCGCCUUUUGGUAUUCCGAAAGGCAUGCCUGUUUGAGUGUCAUGAAAUCUCAAUCCCGUCUGGUUUAUGACCUGGCUGGGACUUGGACAUGGGCGUCUGCCGGUUACACGGCUCGCCUCAAAUGACUUAGUGGGAUCGCUAGCAUCCGUGACAGACGUAAUAAGUUUCGUCUUGUCCAUUGCCAAGCGUCAAGCCUGCUCAGAACCCUUCUCGCCCCCUGCGGCAGAAACCUUUUGACUCUGACCUCAAAUCAGGUAGGACUACCCGCUGAACUUAA